rnacentral:rRNA from 1 species
AAGACCUUGCGCUUUUGGAGCGGCCGAUGCCUGAUUAGCUUGUUGGUAAGGUAAAAGCUUACCAAGGCUUCGAUCAGUAGCUGGUCUGAGAGGACGACCAGCCACACUGGGACUGAGACACGGCCCAGACUCCUACGGGAGGCAGCAGUGGGGAAUUUUGGACAAUGGGGGCAACCCUGAUCCAGCCAUGCCACGUGAGUGAAGAAGGCCUUCGGGUUGUAAAGCUCUUUCAGCCGGAACGAAACGGUUACGGUUAAUACCCGUGACUACUGACGGUACCGGAAGAAGAAGCACCGGCUAACUACGUGCCAGCAGCCGCGGUAAUACGUAGGGUGCGAGCGUUAAUCGGAAUUACUGGGCGUAAAGCGUGCGCAGGUGGUUUUGUAAGUCAGAUGUGAAAGCCCCGGGCUCAACCUGGGAACU